rnacentral:pre_miRNA from 1 species
UUAACUCAAAUUCGUAUGAAGUUGGAACGUUUGCCUACGUUUGCCGCUAGGGGCGCUGUUCCAACUGCUUGAUCACGUA